AAGAGCGAAUGAUGAGAAUAUAUAAGAGAAACAGUUAUCCGUGUCUGAGCUACAUACUUGCUGAUCCUUUUUUCUGUCUGGCGCUCCU